GCCUGCGUGGCUCAGUUGGUUGAGCGUCUGACUUCGGCUCAGGUCAUGAUCCCGCAGUUCAUGGGUUGGAACCCUGUGUCGGGCU
rfam:Felis catus breed Abyssinian Contig255648.1, whole genome shotgun sequence. [26-MAY-2016]